GACCGGGUCAAGACUGCGCAUGCCUGAAGUGAUGUCAUACAUUUACGGAAGACACGUUUAAGCGUCAGUACAGUAUUAUGGAAGGAAUGUUUGAAUUCUGUGAAACUGAACUCCUACAAGGAUCUCUAGCAGGAGCUAAAGCAACUGAAUGUGAGUCCAACCUGAAGAAAGUCUACACCGUGGCGACAGUCCAGGCAAGAUUUCCGGUCUUUUAUAAUCUUGCUACAAAACGGCACCAUCAUACAGUUCUGGCAACAUGACAUAAUUGCGCCACAACACGACUCAAAGUUACUAAUUUCAACUCGAAUCAAAAUAUUCUCUAGUCCUAAAUUUAAGAAUUUGAGGUUUAUUCCGAGGCUACUUUAAAUAAUUGCAAUCAUGUUAACUUAAGCACGAUACAUAUAUGCCCUCGCAAACAAGAGAUUCAAUCUCAAAGGGUUUAAAAUAUGAAUUAUCAACCAGGGACUAAUUCAUCGUUCUGGCACAGUCUCACAGAAGUCAAAUUGCUUGUUUGGAGUUCCUAACAACAGCAGUGGGGAAAAAAUCAUUUGGUUGGAGUUUUCAUCCAGUAAAAUGAAGAGAACCACUCUAGUGAGUUGUAUUAAAUGUGUGCGAGUACUUGUAUCCGCUUGUUCUCAACUAGGGAGGAAGAAAGUAACGUUAAGGGUGGUGUUUGGCGAUUAAAAGUGCCAAAAGAGUGCACAGUGAGUGAUGUGAAUUAAAUGAAAUACUUUGAUUUUCACAAAGUCUGUUGCGUUGGAGGAAUUGCUACUGGCCACCAUUGGGGAACAGUUCAGUGAUUAUUGUGCCACAGAUAAGAUAGCAUUUCAAUAACUCAGUUGCAAGGCAUGUAAUCGAUAGUCAAUAUUUAACCAAUCGCUUGUGACCCACUUUACCCACAGAAGAUGAAGUGGUUCGUGUCAGCGUCAGUGUACGAAACGGAGAAGAUGUUCCGGUGUGCAAAGAAAAUGCUUCCUGCGCUGAUGAGAUGAAAAUUUUAGGGAAGAUUCAUGAGCUCCGUCUGCAGAUGCCAUUUGAAGCAGUGUUUUACCCACCUCACAAGGAUCAUCACGCUUUCGCAGGAGGUCGAUCAGGAUAUUAGCACUUUUUGCACUUUAAAGCACAUCUCGGGCCAUAAUAUGGAGGCAGAUUUUGAAACCGCUGAGUUGAAGCUCAUAUGUUUAACCUCAUCAACUUGCUAUAACAUGUAGCCGUUAUAGCAAGGAAAUUCUUCAUCCUUUCGGAACGACAGUCAUUCUUACACUGUAUCUGAAACUGCUUGUGUUUAUUGUUACUAAACUGUGUUUUUUAUAAAGCACACUUUUGCAAACAUCUCUUGAAAAUGUAGUAGGUUAUGUACAGUCAUCUAUAAUAGUAUUAAUUUCAGGUUCAACAAAAUAGGUCUUUAAGUGAGUACACAUUGAAAAUCACACAUCUUUUCACUCUUUUGUACUGAACGGCCAAAAUCCCCAAAAUUUCUGAGACCAGGAUUUACCAGCCUGUAAUGAGCCAAUGAGCUAUUUUCCAUAAGAUAACACAUCUCGGUACACCACCAACCAAAGAUACUGAAAUGUAAUAAUUGCAUUUGAACAGAACAUUGAUAAACUCGUAGGAAGCCGUGUCCUAAUUUGCUGUUGUUUUCUUUUCAUAUCUUACAUAUCAUGGCUCUUAACAGCAAACCGCCAGGUUCCUAUUCUGUCUCCCCCUGUUGGUUAUUGUUUUGUUUGUGUUCCUCUGAAUGGGUUGUAACUGGGAAAGUAUAUGUAAAUAUAAUUACAAAAAUACAUUUGAUUAAUCUCAUCAUGGUUGUGAGGAAAGAGGUUGGGUCCUGUAGAUGUUUGAUGCACUGCUUGUUGUAAUCCCGGUUUGACAAAUACCGGUAGAAGUAAACUGGGUUCUGAAUGCGCUUGACUGAUCGAAUAAAUAGUGGCUUUCCCUGUUACGCACACUCACUGAAUGGAGUUGUGUCCGCUGUAUGGCACGUGUAGCGUAGCGUAUUAGCUUAGCAUAGCAAAGCGGUCAACAGAAAAUACAGGUCUCACUUCACUGAAGAAAACUCAAAAUAGUUUAUUGCUGAGAAAUGUAUGCUGUCCUGUCUAUUCACUUGAGUUAGCGUAGAAAUAAAACAUGAGAUCUUGUGAUUUUGAUGUGGAUUAGUAGUCUCUAUUUGUUUUAUUUGUGUGUUCCUUCAUUAAAAUUGUGACCAGACAGAAAACAUGCUGACCAAAGGG